rnacentral:rRNA from 1 species
AGUGAAGAAGCGCAUACGGUG